rnacentral:rRNA from 1 species
CCUACGGGAGGCAGCAGUGAGGAAUAUUGGUCAAUGGCCGGAAGGCUGAACCAGCCAAGCCGCGUGAAGGACGAAGGUGCCAAGCAUUGUAAACUUCUUUUGUCAAGGGACAAAAUCAGACUCGAGAGCCUGACUGAGGGUACUUGAAGAAAAAGCAUCGGCUAACUCCGUGCCAGCAGCCGCGGUAAUACGGAGGAUGCGAGCGUUAUCCGGAUUUAUUGGGUUUAAAGGGUGCGUAGGCGGAGCGUUAAGUCAGUGGUCAAAUGUCGGGGCUCAACCCCUUCCCGCCAUUGAAACUGGCGAUCUUGAGUGGAAGAGAAGUAGGCGGAAUGUGUGGUGUAGCGGUGAAAUGCAUAGAUAUCACGCAGAACCCCGAUUGCGAAGGCAGCAUGCCGGCUUCCUACUGACGCUGAAGCACGAAAGCGUGGGGAUCGAACAGGAUUAGAUACCCGAGUAGUC